UGCAAGUUAAAUGUUUUUCGUAAACAUAGCGAACUGCUCAGUAACACGUGGAUAACUUAACCUUAGGUCCGGCAUAACCCCGGGAAACUGGGGAUAAUUCCGGAUGUAUCAAGGAUGCUGGAAUGCCCUUUGGUUCAAAGCUUUUGUGCCUAGGAUAGGUCUGCGGUCUAUCAGGUUGUAGUGGGUGUAACGUACCUACUAGCCGACGACGGAUACGGGUUGUGAGAGCAAGAGCCCGGAGAUGGAUUCUGAGACAAGAAUCCAGGCCCUACGGGGUGCAGCAGGCGCGAACACUUUACAAUGCGGGAAACCGCGAUAAGGGAACCCCGAGUGCCAGUACUAAGUGCUGGCUGUCUAGAUGAAUAGAUAUCAUUUAAUAGCAAGGGCCGGGCAAGACCGGUGCCAGCCGCCGCGGUAACACCGGCGGCCCGAGUGGUAACCGAUAUUAUUGGGUCUAAAGGGUCCGUAGCCUGUUUAAUAAGUCCUUUGGGAAAUCUGGCAGCUUAACUGUCAGGCUGCUAAAGGAUACUGUUAAACUUGGGACCGGUAGACGUAGGGGGUACUCCAGGGGUAGGAGUGAAAUCUUGUAAUCCCUGGGGGACCAUCUGUGGCGAAGGCGC
rnacentral:rRNA from 1 species